rnacentral:rRNA from 1 species
AGUGAACGCUGGCGGUAGGCCUAACACAUGCAAGUCGAACGGCAGCACAGUAAGAGCUUGCUCUUACGGGUGGCGAGUGGCGGACGGGUGAGGACUACAUCGGAAUCUUCUUUUUCGUGGGGGAUAACGUAGGGAAACUUACGCUAAUACCGCAUACGACCUACGGGUGAAAGCAGGGGAUCUUCGGACCUUGCGCGAUUGAAUGAGCCGAUGUCGGAUUAGCUAGUUGGCGGGGUAAAGGCCCACCAAGGCGACGAUCCGUAGCUGGUCUGAGAGGAUGAUCAGCCACACUGGAACUGAGACACGGUCCAGACUCCUACGGGAGGCAGCAGUGGGGAAUAUUGGACAAUGGGCGCAAGCCUGAUCCAGCCAUACCGCGUGGGUGAAGAAGGCCUUCGGGUUGUAAAGCCCUUUUGUUGGGAAAGAAAAGCAGCAGGUUAAUACCCCGCUGUUCUGACGGUACCCAAAGAAUAAGCACCGGCUAACUUCGUG